GAAUUCCCUGAUCAUUUUUAACUAGAUGCAAUCUCUCUCUCUUUCUCUUUCCCUUUCUCUUACAGACAUGUGAAAAAUAGCCUAAUAAGGAUCUUCGUGGUAAAAUCAGAUGGAAAACGGGGAGGCAGAGUCGCGUCUCCAGCAGCUCAUUCGACGCGGCGGCUCCUCCGAGUUGUACAAUAAUCAUCAGUGCUGGCCCGGUGCCGCUGGAUUAUUUUGUAUAUUCAUGAAGGCCCUCAUCAGCCGUCAGGAGACUGUGCAGUAAUCCUUGGAUGAAAUAAGGCCAAUCAGAGCGAUAAUGAGGAAGGUCAAUUGCCCAGAGGCUUCUCCUCCUGUUUUCCAUCUAUUUAUAUACGUGGACCAUAAUAAGCCUCUUGGAACCAGAAGUUACUGGGCCUACAUAAACACCUGCUCUGGUUUUUUGUUUGUCUUUUACCCGAAAUCAGCAAAGUUUUUUUUUUUUUAAAUGAAUCUGCAAAACCAUGUCAAAGCUAUCAACUCAUGCAUGGAGUCGGAAAACAAAGGAGGAUUCUAAUAAUGUUUAUUUUCCUCUUUAUCAGAGACCCCCCCCCCAUACAAAAUCCCAAACCAAAAGAGGAGCCUAUAAAGGAAUGUCUAAACUGCUCACAGAGCUUUCUUUUCACAAAACGAGCGAGAAACCAUCAACAGGGCAGGGAAGGCAAACACGUCUGCCCCACACUGCUUGUGCUUUCUUGGGUCACAGAGACACAUCCGAGCAGGUCAUGGGCUGCUUCCACCGACAGAUGUCCUGAUGUGAAGGAGAGUACCACUGAAGAAAAUGCCUGAACUGCUAUUAUCUGCAUCCUUCAAGCGCUUGACAGGAUUACGACGUGCCGUUAACAUUAGCCUCAGCACAGUGUCUGGAUGAUCAGCCAUGCCUCUUGUAAAUGUCCCACAUAAACCCUGCAGGCCAUGGGCGGUCACCAUGUGAGAGACAGCAUGGCUCCAUCAGUUGGUUACUGCGGGAUUUCUGCAAAGUAUGGUUCAGAGGAUGUCAGGUCUGUUAGGACCCCUGGGCUGGGAGGGGAAAGGUAGAGGAGGGGUCAGUGACCAGCACAGGACAGAAAAGCAUCUUAAGCAAAUAUUGGAUUGUGAGCAUCGAAGAGAAACAACUCAAGAGGGCCUUCCAGCUGGCUCUAGCUGGCACCCGUUCAAUUCUUCCGGCCAUGAUGUGCCCACAAGAACGCCCCAGGAGAGAUGCUUCUGUAAGGGAGCAGCCACCAGCCACCUAAAUGAGGUCAACGGAAAGAAUGGAAAUAGUUGGAGCCUGGGGAUGACAUCAAACACUGGGUGGGUGAGGGGGAGAAAGGAGGUAUGUGGAGAGAGAGGCAGCCCAAGGGAGGCAGAGACAUGGAUGGGAGGAGUGACAGAAGGGCAGGACUUCAGGCUCUGCACCUCUUUCCGGGUGUUGUUGCCAGCCCUACUCCAACCCUGAGCCAUAAUCAACUUCCUUAAUGAAAUACGUAAUUAACAUAUUAUAAUUGUAGUAAAGAUGAUUUUGACAGAAAUCAUUUUCCAUAUCUAAUACUAUGCUAAUUUAAUCUGUUCCUUACUCCCCGACAUGACCUUUAAUGAUUAAGUUUCAUGGUGGAAUUUGUGUGUGUGUGUGUGUGUGUGUGUGUGUGUGUGUGUGUGUGUUUUGAUGGAUUGAUUUUUCCAGUGUAGUGUUUGAGACCCCUUUGUUGGCAUGCCUGUCAUUUUUCUCUCUCCUUAGAAAUCUCUCAGAGACAUGCAUGACCACACUCACUCAAAAGAAAAAUUUCAUGAAAAGAAGAUGUUAAUCUACUCUUCCCUGACGUGACCCAAGAAGCUGGCCAGUCAUAGACAUACUAAGUAAGGCAAUGGCCAGCAGGCCUUGUCAAGACAGCCUAUUUCUUCUAACUACCUGAGCUCUGACUUGAGUCAUGUCUGUGUUUGUGGCAUAUGUCAUUGCUAUAAUUAAAAUACAGCAAACCCAUCAAAGUAUUUGGUUAUCUAAGGUAUGACUAUAAGAUGGAAGUAUAAAUAAUGUCUUAAUUUUAACAAGAUGUUUUAAUCGUACACUACUCUUAGUUUUGUACCUUAUCAAUGUAAUUAUGUUAACUCAAAACAGCCUUACUGAAUCAUCUUAAUGAUCUAGCAGAUACACAUAUAAUUAAGGAGAAAUGGCUGAACUUCUUCCCUUCUUUUUGACAGCAUGAAAUCAGUUACUCGGAGGGAUCCAAAGAGUUUAAUGAGGAGUUGGAACACAUAAAAAAACACAGGCAAUGGUACUCCAGGCUGGUGUUUCUGUAAAUUUCACUUCAGCUUAUAAUAAGGAGAUAAUAUACUGUAUGACCCAAAAUACAGAUGUUGGAGUCAUUUCAACAUUCAGGACAUGUUCCAAGCGAUUUGCUUGUGUUUAAUCCCACCCCAUCCCAUGAAAAAAUAGUGGUUAAAGGCUAGGAGGCUGAGCCAAUCAUAGCAUGAGGAUCUGAGUUCAGAUCCCCAGCACAGGUCAAAAGCAUGUGAGGCAGAGCCUUGGACUCCUGAUGGACAGCUAGCCUGGUCAUCUUGUGGAUGAGUUCUAGGCGAAUGAGAGGUCAACUCAAAUAAAAGUGAGAGAUUCCUGCUCUUGUUUCAUUUCUGUUGCUGUAAUAAAACACUUUGACCAAAAGGAAUGCAAGCUGGAGGCAAGGGUUUGUUUUUCUUUGUUUGUUUGAUUGGUUGCUUUUUUAUUUAUUUUUUAUUCUUUUAUUUAUUCUUUUUUUAUAGUUUACAGGUCACAAUCCAUUAUCGAAGGAGGUCAGAAACAAUGGAGGAAUUCUGUUUUCUGGAGGGAUCUCAGGUUUCUGAUAAGUUAUCUUUCCUAUAUAGCCCAGGGCCAUCUAUCUGCAUCAGGGAAUGAAUGAUGUCUCCCACAGUGGGCACGGCCAUUAUUAUGAAGUAAUAAUCAAGACAAUCUCUCAUUUGGACCUCCCUUCUUCAGUUACUCUACACUGUGUGCCACGUUGACUGUUAAAACUGACUAGGGUGGUGUCUGAGGAAGGCUUCCGACCUCCACGGUCGCGCUCACAUACACGGACACUGCAUAGGAGUAUGCACAUACAUGCACACACAUACACACACACACACACACACACACACACACACACACACACACAUGGUGGUUGAGAUUGAGUGAAAUUUCACUAUUUAUCGCAAUUUUUUAACCAAAGAGUGUCAAUAACUGAAACAAUCAAGUUGUAUAGGUCUUUGGUUGUUGCAUUUAAGACCAGUCCUAUAUAACACACUCUGGCCUUGAACCCUCUAUACAGCCACAGAUGACUUUGAACUCUACCCUCCUGCCUCCUGCUCCCAAGUAGGGGAAUUUCAGGUGUGUGCUACCAUGUGUGAGUCUAUCAGUACGUGCUCUAGCUUUAAUGUAUGAUUUAUAGCCAAUUCCAUCAAUCACAAUUGAGUGUUAUGAUUUUAGCAUGCUUGGGUGUUUUGUUUUUUAUGUCAGGGGAAUGAGUAAGGAGAAUUUUCUAAAGACUCAAUCAAGGCUGAAAAAUAUAUACAUGGGAAUGGUAAAGUUCACAUAACAUUUUGUCCUCCUUUCUUCCUGUGGAAAAAAUGGGUAUGAGCUUAAAAGCUUGCAUUUGUCAUAGUUAAAAGAAAAUUAUUCCAGAAUAUUAAUAAAUUGGAUAUGCUUAAUAUCGAAAAGAGAAGCAUAUGGAAAUAUUAGAAGUCAACAAGAGCUUCUGGGCCAGCUUAGCUACGCCACGGCAUUGGAAGAAUUUGGAAAAGACGUUAAAUAGUUGCAGAAAAUUCUUAUUGCAUUGGUUAUUCCUUAUAUAAAUUAUACAGUAGGAACACCAAGUAAGAACAGACUGGCUGUAUGUGCUUAGGAUACACACUGUGAAAACGACCAACUUAAAUCCCUUUCUUAUGUUGAAAGUUGAUAUCCUCAAAAUAUUAAAAACAAUAUCAAGAGGACAUGGAUGUCUGAAUGUGACUUACUAUUAAAUACGUUUAUCAUUUUUGGUAAUUCUGGGAACUUGAACUCUUUGACUUUCAUGCAAAGAUUGUGAUGACAUGAGCAAAGAUGGUGGGAAUGGAUUUGAGAAGCACCUGGGAACCUAGAAAAAAAAAAAACCGCGCAUAUCUUUGGAACACAGACACUUUAGCCUAGUUGUACUCUAUAAAGUUUCACUGUGACCUUUUAUCCUACCAGGAAAAUGUAAUGUCCUCAUAUUAUUAGCUUUUAAUUUUUAUCUUGAAGAGAGGUCAAACUUAGAUUCAAAUAGCCUAGAGUUAGGAGAACUCUCAAUAAAUCUGUGGCAGUAUGAUAGUCUGUGCCUUUUUAAAGAAUUUCUUACUUCAUUCACAUUUAAUGUAAUUUUGCUAUGGCUAGAUAUUACUCAUAUUUUUUUCAUUUUACAUCUUGUGUCUUUUUGUGAUUACUGUAUCAUGUAUGUUAGAUUUUAUUGUUUAUCUUUAAAAAUUAGUUUCUCUGCUAAGUUUUAAAUAUUUAUAUACUUACUAUUAAUUAUUUUUCAGUUUCUUUCUUAUUUGUAGUUCCAGAAGUUUCAUUAUAUGUCUCCUUUAGUCUUUUUUCUUUUGCUGUGAUAACCACGGCCAAAAUAAGCUUGAAGAGGGAAGGGUUUAUCUCAUCUUACAGAUCUCAAGUCUUACUCCAUUACUGAGGGAAGUCUGGUGAAAACUCAAGACAGAAAUCUCGAUGCAGGAACUGAAUCAAAACCUACAGAGGACACAGCUUACAGGCUUGCUCUUUGAGGCUUGUUCAGCCUGAUUUCUUAUGUGCCCCACCCACCCAGAACCCCUGCCUUGGAGUGGCAUUGCUCUCGGUGACCUAGGUCCUCCCACAUGAAGUAUAUGAUGCAUGUGCAGGUUAUAAACCCAAACAACCCAUUGUUAUAGUAGUGGAGUAUUUCAUACAGUCUUUUGCUUAUAAAAACAAAUUGUUACAAAGAGUAAAAUAAGUUGACUUCAUCUUUUUAAAAAUCCCACCCAUUUUUUAAAAAAUCAUUUCUGAUAGUUUUAUUUCCUUCUUGUUGCGUGGUUUCCCCUUUCAUCCUAUAGGACCUUUUGAAAAUUUCAUUAGGUCAGUGUGGUAUACCCAAAUUAGGACUUUAAUUAUCUGUAAUAUCUCCAUUUGUCUUUAUUUUUUUGGUGAAACAGAAUAUAGAAUUCUGGUUUGAUUGAUCUCUCUCAUUGCUCACAUCUGGAAAUUUAUUGACACAUGUUCAGCAACCAUAUGGCACAAUGAAGGUACAUUGGAGAUACUGUGGGCAUCUCAGUUCAUAUGGUCAUAUUAUUAUCAUGUUCCUACAGCAGCAUGCUUGCCUAAAAUCCUGUCUCUCAGAGCACAUCCCUUGGUAAGGGGUGCCUGUCUGUUCACAUGUCCCACAAACCUCGGAGGUUCUGCUCACACAGCCUAAGUCGUGUUCUCUGUGGAUUUGCCUUAGAGCUCAUGGGGGCCUCUGCCUUCUCAGCACCAUCUUCUGCAAAGCCCAUUCAGGGAGCUCUCCACCUCAGUUGUUGGGUUUUCUGACUGUAGAAUUUUUACUUGGUUUGCCUGUUUCUCUAGUUGAGAUAUUAUUUCUUCAGCAUUUCCUAUUAUUGUAUUUCCCUUUAUUUUCUUAUGCUUAGUUUCUCUUAAUUAAGUGAACAUACAAAAUCAGAUGCUUUGAAUAUUUGGACCUGUAACAGCUAGGUUUCUUUAACAUUAAUAAUAAUUUUUUAUUAGCAGAUUACACAGAGCUGUCAUUUUCAAGGCAGGGUCUCACCAUCUAUGCCAGGCUAGCUGCAAACUUCUGGAUUUUGAGAUUACAUGUGAACAUCACGUGGACAUCAUGCCCAGUGGUAGUCUCUUUCUAGCAUGUUAAAACUUAUUUUGUUGCUGUGGGUUCUGAAUUUUAUCAUUCCAUGAUGGGGUUCCCCCUUUUAAUACUUUUUAUUGUCUUCCUCUCUGAAAUCCUUCUUCCCUGUGAUAUGUAGCCACUGAUAUUUCUGUUGGGUUUCUAUUAAUUUGAGUCAUUUUUAAAAAAAGUUCAGAUCCUAUAGAAUCAUUCUUGUGUCUUCAAAGCUUAAUAAUGAAUCAAAAAUGUGGCAGGGGUUGUGCCCAAACACUGCGUUGGCGUGCGAGGCAUGCUUGCUGGCUGACCUGGAGAUCAGUUAACGAGUGCUGUGCACUAUUCCCAGGUUCACUCAUGGUACACAAGGUCGGAAUCACAACUGACAGGCGUGUGGAAAGUGUGGCUCUGACCUCCAGGGCCUUUCAUUUCCAGAGUCUCUUAGGAGGCUAUGCUGGCUUUUAGCCCUCCCCGAAUCUGCAGCCCUGGGGUAGGAGAGCUGUGGGCCUUCCUCCUUCCUCACUGUGCUCUCUCCCACCUCAGAGGCAAGGCUGCUUGCUUACAUAGCCAGAGCUUCUGCUGAAAAGAACAAACGGGUGAGCACGAGCUGCAGGAACUGGGCAAGGGGCUGGAUGGGGCAAGCCCCAGGCAAGCAAGCAGAUAUCUUUACAUUGUAAAGACGUUUACAUCAUUAAAUGCAUUUCAAUUCCGUUUUUAUACUUGUUCUGUCUCCAGACACCUGCAUCGGUUGCCUGGCCUGUGAUCACAUUUGCUCGCAUGUGAGAUGCUGGGCUAACCUCUCUACAUAGCCACGUCAGAAUUCCCUCCAGCAAAAUAGAACCCAGAGACUUUCAUGAUAAUGGAAGGAAAAAAAGAGCCCUCAGUUCUGGUCUAUUUUUUUUCCCUGUGGUGGUUUCCAGGUCCUGUAUCUUUACAACAGCUUAAUUCUUUUCUUUGUGUCAUAGUGUUGUGGAGUCCUAAUACCGUGUUGGCACCCUAGGAAUUCAUUCCUCAGGUAAAAUCAUUUUUCACUUCCUAUCAGCUGUGCUGGGAAGAUUGAAAGUGCCUUUCACUUAGCCCCGCCCAUUACACGAGAAGAUAAAAUGAGCCAAUAUUUUUUUUUCCACACAUAUAGAGAAACCAUAAAUUAUGUCAUCUUAAGAAACUGUAUCACCUACUGUCUUACAUGGAAGUUUUAUCUUCUUACAUGUUUUCUUUUUAAAAUUCAGUGGAUAUGCAAGGAUUUAAAAAUUGCUCCACAGAAUAUUAGGCGAGGAUGCAUCCCUUGAUGGCGAUCUGGC